rnacentral:lncRNA from 7 species
AGGCCCGGCCGCCGCGGCGCGCGCCCGGUGGCCGUUGGCGCUCGCGCCGCGUCUUUCUUCUCGGCCAGAGACAAAUGGUUUCCUUUCAAGAGAAAUGACUGUUUUGAAGAAAAACUCUGUUGGUCUUAGCUCUUUUGUAAUUAAAUCUGGAUGUACCUCAAAAGACUCUUUAAGACUGUGGUGUUAAAAGGCUUUCCUCUGGAGAAGGAGAAAAAAUAAAAUCAACUGGAACUUAAAAGCUUGAAAUUCCAUGACAAAACACAGAUGUCCAGGAUUGGAGGUUCAUAAAGUACAUGCAGUAGUUGGAGUGGAUUCCAUUUUCAGUGUAGCUGCCACCAUGGACUCCAGGCUCCCAGAUUUUCAAGAACUGGACCUGUGACCCAGAAGAGCUUGUCAAGAUAUGACAGGAACUCUGGAGGUGGACGUUUUGUAUUCAAUUUUGGAACUGUUGAUCUUGCCGUGAGAAAAGAGAGACACGACUCACCAAGCACUGCCACCAGCACUGUCACUGGGAACUUGAAGAUCCAAGUUUCUGUCCAGAACCUCAGUGCAAACUGACAACACUCCAUCCAAAGUGAACUACGUCCCGUGCCUCCUGAUUGCUGAAUGUUCACCUGGACCUGCCAAUGACCUUCCUUCUGCUACUCCAUCAGCCUACAGACCUGGUACUUGGAUUUUUGUCCAUGGUGAUUCCUUCCACCUUACUACUGAAGAAGACACCAUUCCAGUGGACCACUGUGACCCAAGAAGCAUUCAGCCAUCAUGAUGUGGCCUUUACCUCCACUCCUGUCCUACUCUGCCCAGAUUCAGCACAGCCCUUUAUAGUGCAGUCAAGAGUCUUCAAGCCAAAUAACUGAAGCUAUUUUAUCACAACAAAGGCCAGGUUUAUUCCAUAAAUGUACAGUUCAUUUCUGCAGUUUAUUCUUCAGAGACACAUAGUAAAUUUGGACCAGGGGAUUUUGUUUUGUUUAUAUUGUCAACACUGUCUGAAGAAAGGCAUCUCUGAGAACAGCAUUGGACCCUACUCCACAAUCUCAAAUGAUUGAAGUUUCAUAAACUGCCUAGGAUCCUGUCAAGGCCACUGGACUCUUGUUCUUUUCCUACUUCAAAAUCUGUAGCUGUCUACUAAAUGACAAAGCAGAUAUUCUGACCCAUUGGGAUCAAAACCAAGGCAUUUUGAAUUCCUCAUAGUAUCAUCUUCGGGUUACUCAGGAACCAAAACUUUUCACACCAAUUUAAGAAAUUCUACUGAGGAAUCCCUUUACCUAACCAUCUCACAAGGCUUCAACCAGAUUCCUGAAAAGGCCUCUUGAUAUAUCAAGAUAGAACCUACAUGCAUUUUGUGAACAACUUAUCACUGAUUUUCCAAAGGCUUUGUGCUCUUGAAGUUCUUUGAAGGAAAGCUGUGUGGAAGUCCAGAGUAAAGUGAAGCUGCUCUGGAUGAAGUAGUGAAGUGGGAGUUGAGGUCUACAACCUGCCACAACCAUCUUCCUUUACCACCAUGGUGAUGCCAAAAGGGACUUCCUUAAAGCUCUUCAGAAAAUCCUGCUUGAAACCACUACCCUAGACAACAUGUUUGACCUGGAUGGCAUUCUCUUCAAAACAAUUCAUAUUCAGUUGAUGCUCAACAUGUUUGGAGAUGCUUUAUUCAGAGAAUGAUGAUAAUUACAGCAUUGUCUAAUGAAGUUUUAUUAAUAGCAUUCCAUCCAAGGUGGACUUCCUGGAGUUGGAUAUAACCAGAGAGCAAUUCAUAUGUAUCCUACACUGAAGAACACCAUUAACUUUCAGCAACCUAUAGCUAGUGGUACUAGAAGUACGUGUCUUGGAAGUCUAUGAGAGCUGGUAUUGAAGCUGAUGCCUCCUUAAGGCCAUCUUAGACCAAGUUGUUUGUUUGACCUCUCCUCAUUAACUAUGGAGCAGAAUUGAAAUACAAAUUUUUCCUAAAGGGACUUGCAACCUGGUUAUCAUUCAUUAUCUCAAGUUUCAAGUCAUGUUGAUGCAACCAGUAGUUAUUAAACUGCUCCAUGGUUUUUUGUUAUUUAAUACUUUUUCCAGGGCUUAAAAAAACAAAAUUAAAUUUCUCCAACACGUCUAUACUUGUCUGUUCAAAAGUAACUACUCACCACUAUAUGGAACAGAUGAUUCUGAAGACACUCUGAGCAUCCUUUAUGAUAUUUGUGACUUAAAAUGUGGCUGGAAAUUUUCCUUCUACCCAGUGAAAUAUUUAAUGAUUAGUCUUCAUGCCUGAUACCAUCAACUGUAUAUGCGUGAUAGGCAAAGUUUGACAUAGGCAUUUGACUCUAGGCUAUGAUAGCUUGCUAGUAACUUCAAGUAGCAUAUUGUCAACCUGUUUGCUGGAAAAGUAGAGUAACUUGGAAAAAAAACUAAAUGGCAGCUAAGGAUUUUUUUCAGUAUUCCUGAGUUUCUGUCCUUGGGAUAUUUCAAUGAAAUUUUCACCUGUCUCUUCACUUAACAGAGUGACUGACUCCUUACUAUGAAGUAUUCUUAAGACAUUAAGAUUACUUUUGUAGAAAGGAUAAAAUUCCUGACCAUCCAAAUCAUCAUAGUGAACAAGACUUCAAUUUGUGACCUGAGAAAAUCUCAUUUCUCUACUUCGUAGUCAAUGUAAGGGCCAAUGCUAUCAGCUACUCUGAGUGCACUGGGUAAACGUUGGAACUGCCUUCUUUAUAUCAUUACUUUUUAUCCUCUAAAUUAAUCAUGGUUAUGUAAUUCUCGCCACAAAUCAGCAAAUCAGACUCAGAUCUGGUUAUUCUAGACUGCUCACAGUUAACAAAUCAAACUCUGGAUGACUUCUGCUUGUAUAUGCAACUACUAUUUGUAAAGAAAUUGCAAAUUCACUUUUCUAUUACCUCUACAUUGCUAGCUCUUUCUUUUGUGUUUGUAUUAAAAACAAAAAUAAGCUACACUGCCAGCUAUUCCCUCCUGCCAUACUCAGUUAAAAUGAAGAAUCGGGAAUCUAACCAGUGAAUGGAUAAGUAGAAAAAACUAAAACUUAAGGCAAAAGCCUUAAUCUAGGGCCUUUUCUACUAUCUUCAUGUCUUGGAUUUCAUCUAAAAUCAACAGUGCCACCCAACCAGUCUGAGGUCUUGACUUGCUUUUAAGAUGAUUCUUAGAGAUGGGCUGUAUUACAGAAGGUGAAGACUUGAUUACCAAAGAAAGUAGAGCCAACUUUGACAAACCUGGCUCUACAAUCCUAUUGCUUCCAGAUGUAGCAUAGACUCAUAACUAGAACCUCAAGUCUGCAUUGAGGAUAUAGCCUUCUAAGCUGACAGUUCUUGCAACAGGUGAGCAAGAAAAUGAAAGCUGUUAUACCCAACUGGCCCUUUAAGAUCCAAAAAUAAUGUCUGGACUAAACCCUAUGGAGUACCCAGGACAAAAACUAAUUUACAGAGCUUCAUUAUUAAUCUGCCUGUUCUUCUAGCUUAAUUAUUGGUAUGGCUGGCCCUACUGAAGUAGUUUGUCUGUUUACCUGUCUUCAGCUCUUAACCUGGCUAUUUUGACAUGCUACUGCAAUUAGACUAACUGGCUUUGAGAAGACUACAAUCAGUUUCAGCCUCUCCUUUGCCCAAUUUCACCAAGGAAUUUUGAUAAGAGGAACCCAUACCUCACCCCACCAGAACAGAAAGGACCAUGCUGCAUAUUCCUUGACCAGCAACUUUAAGUAGAGAACAACCCUGCUUGUUUUCAACAUCUGAAACACCAUUUGAUCUAAUAGGAGUAUAGAAGGUUGACAGCAGAGUACACUACUUACUUCUUUCAUAACUCAGAAAUGAAUAUGACUGGCCCAGAAGUUGUAAGUUCACCUUGACAAGAAACAGCAACACCAGAAGUUUACUGCUGAACUUAACUUGCCACUUACUCGAAUAGUCUCACAGACCUGCUUGCCAAGUAGGAGGCUAGUUUUCCUGCUUCAUAUCACCAUUGGAGUGGGGCUCAAUGGGGUCAAUGUUAAUACUGACUUGAAUGGGGACCUUAUGGUGAAUCCUAGACUAUGAGGCUAAUGGAAAUUAUUGUCUAUUCAAGUGGAUUAUAGAUUUCCUGAGGACAGAACAGACAUCACUCCUGGUGAUUUUUAGAACUUGAUUACCAAGGAAGAAAUACCAGCUGCUAACAGUCAACUUCAUGGGCAAAGAUUAAGCUCUCUAUAUCUGGUCGUAUCCUGGAUGCUAGUUUUUUAUUGCCCAGUGACCAUUUCCAUCUCACGCUUAACUUCCUGAUGUUUUUUGGAACCAUCUCUUCCAAUUUUCAGUCCUGGUGAUUUAGACAGUCUUUUCAUGCUGGACAUUUUGUUGCAACCUCAUCAAUCACAGCAAAGUCCAUCUUGACUUUAGUGAUUAGUUCAGGAAUGGAUGCAUGAUUCAAGUUUGUCCAAUGAUAAUCAACCCUAGGUGUUUUCUCAGUUGUGGAGAAGUUCUCUUAGAUGCUUUAGCUUUGUAGGAGAAAACUCAAACCAACAGGGCCUACCUACUAUGUUGAAUGAUUGUAGGAGAAAACUCAAACCAACCAGGCCUACCUACUAUGUUGAAUGAGCCAGGCAGAAAAUGAAGCCAGUACAGAGGGAAAUGGAGCCAAAAGAGGAAGAGACUUGAGUUCUGAUGAUCACAUUUAUGCCCCUGUAUCCAACUGUGCCUGAAGCUAAUAGUACAUCACCUGGACUUUUCAGUUAUGUGAACCAAUAAAUUCCCCUUUUUGUUUAAGUUACUUUGAGUU